GGGGGCAUAGCCCAACUGGCAGAGGCACGGGACUUAAAAUCCCGCCAGUGUGGGUUCGAAUCCCACUGCCCCUA
rnacentral:tRNA from 1 species